UCAAGAGCACAAACGACGCUCACUAUUCCUCCAUCGUUCUCACUCGAACCAAGCCCCAAAUUCAGUCCAAAUUUGGGCGAGUGAAUCCCAAAUCCUUAACCCACGCGUCCCUCCUUCUCUCAUUUUGCUAUUGCUAACGGUUUCUAACGCAAGAUUCCCCUCCCCUCUCACUCACUCGAAUAUGAGUUGUAUCAUACGAUUGGAAGGUUCUGGAGACGAGAUGCUAGAUGAGUGUGAGGCGUUGGAUUGAUUUCACUCAAUCCGAGCCCCACAUUCAUCAAGAAUUCGUCUUCAAAAGAAGCCUGAUCCGAUUUUGUGAAGAGAGGACUCGGGUAAAAAGAAUUUUGAAAAGAAAAAGGCUGAAAGGCUUCUUGAACUGAUGCUUUUUGAAGUCUAUUUUCUUCUUUGAAAAAUUCUUUCAAAGUUUAAGAGAAACAUAUAUACAAUUUCUUUUUACUUUUCUGAAUCGGGAUUUGAGGUCCAAGGAGAUAAAAAUUGAAGUUCAAGCUUGGUUUUCUAUGGUCGUCUUGCUGAUUUGCUGCUGAACCUCGCUAGGAUUUGGAGUCGAGAAGUGUAUUGUCGAGUCCAUAAUCGUUAUAAAAGAGAUUUGCAACUUCAGGUUCAAUUUUCCUCUCUUUAUUUCUAUGCGACUCUAUUUUGUUUCAGUGUUUUUGAGCUAUGAGAUUUAGUCUAGAGUGGUUUGUUCUGUGUUAUGAUGGAAUACCAGUGGUGGUAUGUGUUUGAAUAUAUAUAGUCAAUAAGAGUCAAUUUGAGUAAUCAACUUCUAUCUCCUGUAUGUCGUGAAUGUUAUUCGGGCUUGAGGUAUAUUCUGAGUUAAAUUUCAUCGCGUUCAGUUGAACGAUAUGUGCAGUUUCUUCUGGUGAAAUUCCUUCGCAAUAUGCUCUGAUAUUCAUGAUGAUUUGUUUGAGCCAUAAGUUCAGGGAGUUAACUAAUGGUUCUGUAGAUGUCAUACUGGAAAUGUGUGGUCGACCUAGAAUGGUUUUCACUGUUAGUUGUGGUGUUCUGAUUGAGGAUUCAGCACACAACUAGCCAAUGGUUGUGCUAAAGCUGACCUCAAAUCAAUUGGUUCAAGUAUCCUAGCAAUAGAGUGUGCUGGAAUUUCUGAGUUUGCAAUCUCUUUAUUGCUAUCAUUUAAACUUUUGUGGGAUUGAAUCGAUGAGUUCGAGUGUAGUUUCUCAUUCAUUCGUGACUAGCUAAGAUUUUUGGUAAAGUCUGUUGAGCUAUGUCACUUUUCUCUGAUGUCACUCUGUAAAAUUAUGCAUCAGUUGUAUUCAUGAAGUAGUUACUCUUAGAAUUCUUUUUUUUUCUUGAGGCAGUGCUGGAAAUAUACUAUUUAAAUCCUAAAACUCAGUCUUGGUAAUUUUUCUUGUGCUCUUGGGGUAGCAGAAGUGUCUGGGCUGAAUUUUAGCUAUCCGUGUGGUAUCAUGUUCUGUUCGAUUUUUAAAAACCUGGCUCAAAGCUGUAUUGGUUCAUGUUUGGUAUCAUGUGCUAGUUUGUCUUGGUUUCUUCAUGCUAGAUGGUACGAGCAGGAGGAUUCUCUGUUGCUUACCAGAAUUUGUGAAUUUGGUACGCUGCUUGAUGAUCCAUUCUUAUCAAAUCUUGGUUUAAAGUAGUGUUAAAACUAAGUUGUUUCAUUGCUUGUUUAGAUGUGCUUUAUUCUCCUUCUCCUGCUCGGAAGUUACCUACGUUGUUAUAGCUCUAAGAGCUCUGUCCUUUAGUGUUGCUAAAAGCAGUUAAUUCGAGCAGUGAAUUAGGCUAAAACAUGCAGUGUUUUGAGGGCAUUUGCCAGGGUUGUUAAGCUGUUAAACCUCUUCUGUUCUGCAUUGUGUUGAGCAAUUCAGUUCGGCAUUGUUUUGCUUGCCUUCUUUUUCUUUGAAUUAAGCUUGUGACAGACUGUUUUGAUAUCUUUUCUGCGAUAGGCUUAGUUAUCAUCACACCAAAUGUGACUGAGUCAAUGUUUUGAACAUGUCGACCUCUUGUCAGGCUUUCCCUAUUUGAAAUUAAUUAGUUUGCAUCUAUGCUUGGUUGAUAGUGUAGUUAUGGCUCAUGUUUACAAAAAUCAAGUUUCAAAAUUGAAGGACUGAAAGUUCUGUUGGUGUACUCCAGUAGCUGAAUCACAUUCUCAAGUUCUAUUAUUGAGCUCAUACCAUGUGAGAGUGCUGAAUUUUUUUUAAUUGAUUGUGAAAAGGAGUUUUCAUUCAAAGAAGAGGUAGUUCAUUCGCAUUUGAGAGAAUGUUAGUUUUGUUACAAUGCUGAUUAAGGAUCACAUUUGGAUGGCUUCUUCUUUUCAAUUAAAAUGUGCCAAUAGUUUAGGUGAAGUCUAAGGACAAUAUUAGUUCUCGCUAACUCCAUGCUUGAUUGAUUUGUUUCUACAUUGAUCAGCAUCCCUAGAACCUUAACUCCUGCUCCUCGACACAGCAGAGAACGACGGACCCCAAUCCCCAAGGAGGCUACAACCUAAUUCCACUUUCUGGUUUUCUUUUUUUCUUGGAAAUUCACCAGCAUCCAUGGAACGAUGAUUUGGAUUGUUGGUCCAAUCGUAUCUUCAUUUGGAGUCCUUUGAUGAGAUGUUUAAUUAAUUUUAACUCCUCAAGCAUGUAUACAAUUAGAAACCCUUUUAAAAUAAUUCGAGGUGUGUCGUGCCAAACAAAAUCUCAAAUGCAUGGCCUCAUUUAAUUAACAUGUGAAUCCUUAGAAUUCGAGGCGUGCCAUUUAGUUGAAUUUCCAUGGCCCUCGCAAAUUUAAAAACGCGUAGUUGCUUUAGGCGCUUUAAUUUAAUAAUAUUACAUUCCUAAAUUCGGGUGCGCAUUUAUGUGACCCAAAUCCAAAUCACAACGAUGUUAAAAUAUGUCAAAAUCACGGGUGCAUUUAUGUGACGUGGUUCGAGACGUGUUUUAAUAAUGUUGCAAUUUUCUUUAAGAAAUGAAUAAAAGCGGUGAAAGUUAAAAUUUGCACAUAGGUUCAUAAUUGUUUAAAAUCAGAUAAUUAAGCCAAAUAUAACAGUUGAGCGACCGUGCUAGAACCACGGAAAUCGGGAGUGCCUAACACCUUCUCCCGGGUUAACAGAAUUCCAUACCCGAAUUUCUGGUUCGCAUACUAUUAAAUAGAGUCAAUCUUUUAAUCGAUUCGAGAUUGGAACCGGUGACUUUGGACACCAUAAGUCUCCCAAGUGGUGACUCUGAAUCUUUUAACAAUAAAUCCUGCUUCGAUUGUCCUUUAAUUGGAAAAACUCCCUUAUACACCCUUCUCCGGGGGUGUAGUGAAAAAUGAGGUGUGACAGCUCUGGCGACUCUGCUGGGGACCGAACCCAGAAUCUCUGGUUCAGGGUUCAGAAUUUGAGCUUAGAUGAAUUGUUGUAUUUGGAUUUAUCUGUUAUCUGAUUACAUGUUUGUGCCUAAUGUGUUAAAUGAUGCUUUUACCGCUUUGAUAUUAUCUGAAUUGUAUAUAAACUGCUAUGAAACCCUUCUUUUCUUAUCUUCGGGGAUGUGCUCACUGGUCGAGACUCCCUAUUCUGUUAGUGUCAUACCUUGAAAUAAGAAAGAGGCUCGAACAAGUUACUAAGCCGGAUGGCCUCUUGGUUCCCGGUAUGUAGCUGUAAGCACGUGAUUUCUGCCCUAUGAAAGAAUUACUCCCAAAAAAUUCAACGAUUUUUCCUUUGGGUACAAUUUUUGAGAAUUUACGUGACAUUUUGAUAAUUAUUUUUGUUCGUAAAUGUUUACCCUUGUUAUAGUUAAUUGAAAAAUAUAAAAAUACAUGGUGCAUGCAUAUUUAGGAUUUAAUCAUGCAUUUAGGAAUUAAUUAAACCAUCAUUUCGCCCUAAAAAGGAAAAAUCAGAAAUACAUAAAUAUAUAUACCUUUUUAUUCUACUUGUUGUCUUUGAGUGAUUUUGUUUUUAAGGUUUUAACUUGUGUAUUAAUUAUUGUAAGUGUUAAUUAACAUUUGUGUAGUUUUAUUUUUAAUUUUAGGAGUUGUGUUUAAAUUAAAUUAAAAGAAGAAAAGAGUUGGAAAAAAGGAAAACUCGGAUUGGGCCCAAAAAUCAGGCCCAAAACCAAGACACAGACCCAGUCCAAACGCCUGGUGCCCGGUCUAUUCCCAUAAUCACUGGAACGACGUCGUUCUAUGGUAAUCGAUCCCAGUCGUCGACCUUACAUGAUCCAACGGCUCAGAAUCCGUCCCCCUUACCCGUUCUCUAAACCCGACCCAUUGCCCGGUUCGAACCGACCCCCCUACUUAAACCAAACGACGUCGUGUUGGUUAAACCCUCUAAUCUUGGCCUUUGAUCUUGAUUGAUCCAGCGGCCAAGAUUGAACCACCCACCCCGUAUAAGAACCCCAAUCCCUCACCCCACGCACCCAAAUCAAACCCCCCCACACUGUUCACCCUCGUCCCCAGAGACGACCCUCACAAACCCUAGCCGCCUUAGGAUUCCCCCACCGUAAACCCGGCAACCACGACGCCAACGACCACCAGACUAACACCCCUAAAUCACCAUAACCCCCUCUCUCCAAAUCCACACUCAGUUUACUUCAAAUCUUCCCCGAACGUCUCGAAUCUUCGUUUGAAGGUUCGAGCAAAAACCAAAUUUACACCCACCGACCCCAAAUUCAUACAACAACACCAACUGACCUACCUCACGCCCUAAAGGCCAUUGGGUCCGUUCGAAUCUGACCGGAGCUGAACGAAUCCCAAAUCGAACCACAAAGAACCUUAAAAAGACCAAAAGUUGAGGUUUGUCCAAAUUAAAAGAUGAUGUGGGGUCUAAUCGACCUUAGUCGAAGUGUUCUCAAUUGAGAACACUCGAUUAAGGUCCAUUCGGCCUCAAAAAUGUUCGAGUCCGAGUUCGAGCCUGGGUCAGUUUUUUAUUUCGAAACCCUGAGGUAAUUUUCCCUUUCUUUUGUUCUCCUAUGAAUUUUAUCUGUUUUUUAUGUUUAGUUUGGUUUGUUUUCGAUUUUUCUGUCAAGUCUGUGAAUCCUGAGGUAAUAUUUAGUUUGUUUUGUGUGUUUUAUUGAUUGUUUGCUGUCUAUUAUAGCUUGUAUAGUCGUUUAAAUAAGUGUCGUCAAUUAAUUUGUUUGAAAAUUAGAGGAAACAAGACAGUAGCUCAUUAAUAUCCUCCAUGUAUGUUCGCCGGCACCACAUCUGUAGGCUAACUUGUAAUGAACCUGUUGAAUAUAUUCAGUUUUGUCUUUGAACUAGACUACUCAUUCAUUCAGUAACCCCAUGAUCUUCAUAGUUUGCCAUGGAAACUUGUUCAUUACUGUUGAUCUUAGCCUGUUGGUUGUUGCCUUUUUGCAUUUUGGCACUGAGUUGGUGAGGUUUGGCUCCCAAUGUGACCAACUAAUUUGGUUUGUUUGACACCCCUUUGUGAUCUAAUUUUGAGUUGAACUUAGUUUAGGAAUUGGAUAUAGCUGUAGAAAUCUAACAGGUCAACCUGAAAUCAGUGUUGAGUUUAAGCUUAUACAAUUAGUAAUCAGUGAUUUGCUAAAUCUAGAGGGGUUUUAUAUACUGACAAGCAAGGUUUAGGGUAAUACAGUAAUAUGCAAGGGUUAAGGGUAAUUUUGGGAGUUUAGUAGGAUGUUAACAGAUUGUAAAGCUAAGGUCUGCCUAGGGGUCAUUUGUUAAACUUAGUUUAAUUGUCAGUGGGGUACAUAACAUGAGGGGUGGGUUUAUUUGAAUACUCUAACCCCUCCCAUGACUCUUGAUUAAAACAAAUAGGACAAACAUGGGGAACAAUAUAGUGGGCAUCAAGAAAAGACAUUUAGGCAUGGGGAAUUAAGGGGUAUGGGCAUAAUAAAGGCUGAAGGUAUCAAGGCAGCUUGGUGACCUGGUUUUUGCUUAUAAAUAGGCUGAUUUAGGACAAAAAAGGGGCUGGACAUUCAGUUUUCAGAGAGUGAAAAAAAAGAAAGCAAAAACAAGGCUGGUCUUUCAACCUUUAGUAGGGUAGUCUCUUCAGAGUGACAUAGAGUGAGAUUGUGCUGGAAUUUGAAUAUAAUUUCCAGAGGCUACUACUUUCUUGCAUCUGUUUCCUUCCCUGCUUUGCCUGUACUUGUUUUGGUAUUGCUGGGCUGCAAACUGAGUUUCUUGCUUGGGUUUUAAAAAUCUGUUGCUGGGUUUUGUUGCUGUUGAUUGCUGGUUUCUGUUGUUGCUGUUGCUGUAAAUGCUACUGCUGCACUGAUCACUCCUUUUCUUCUUUUGGCUUUCCUAAUACCAGGUACACAACUGAUACACUGUCAAUGUAAGCUGAAAUUUGAAGCAUGAAUACAAAGAAAACUUGAAGAGUUGAAGUUAUUUUGAAUUAGCUUUAGAAAUGUACUGAAAAUUGGUUGUCUGUAUGGCAGUUCACUUUCUCUCCUAGAACCGUGUAGUUAGUUGUGGUGUAGCUGAACAUUUAUACAUGUCGUUUAGUUGAUGAACUCCAUGUUUUGCUUAUAAUUAAAGGAAGGGAUUGAUGGUGUGUUCCUUAAUGUAUUGUUAUUUUGAUUUGCU
rnacentral:lncRNA from 1 species